ensembl:lncRNA
GUGUGCUUUGUGGGUUUUUAUUUAGGACGUAAAACAAAUUCUUAUUACACAGCAACAGUUAAUUCCAAGUACAAUCUAAAAAAAAAAAAAAAAUUGUAAAAAGUUGAUGUUCCCCACUUGUUUGGAGGCAGCUUUAUGACGCGCGUGCACACACACACAAAUAUCACUCAGAGCAGACAAGCUGCUCCCCCCGAGGCCUCCAUGAUUUAUAGUCUCACUGCCACCAACUUCCUUCUCUCUGGGGCUGAGUGCAUCAGAUGGAUUAGUUAGCACUGGCAGAGCACAAAUCACGGCCAUCCUACCUAGAAACCAUAUUUUUCUGUUGUUUCUUAAAAAUGUACAUGGACACAAGAUAUGGUAGAAACUGCUUUUCCAUAGAAUUCUGAAGUUGCAAAAAGACACUUCCAUUUUAAUGUGAAAAUAAGCACUUUUGUGUUUUUUUAUAUUUUACAAAAAUGUUUCAAGAUAUUUAGCAAGGUUUAUUUGCGUAAAUAAUCCAUUUGUACACAGGUUGGCCCCGGCAUAUUUGUCAAUUUCCAUAUCAUUGUAUGAGUUUCAAUAAGAAAUAGGAACAAAUAUUAGCAGAAAAUAAACUUCAGCUCUCAAGCACAAUGUGCCUUUUUCAGUGAAUGGCUCUAUAUAAGCCUCUCUUAAAAGACUGGUGUGCAGUGCCCCUUCCACUGCUAAAAUACCAUAUAAAACAUGUGUUUGCAACAUACGCCUUAUCAAGGAGAGAAGACUACUUUACUAAAUAGCAAUUCACAUUUAAGUACCAUUUUUUAAAAUUCCCAUCUCACUACUGAAGGUUGCACUCGGCACGCCGAUGUAAUAAUUCAAAGAGGAACUGUGAAUAAUACUUUAAUGGCAUUUAUCAAAACAUGGCCAUACUUUUUUUUUUUUCAAGUAUCUUCCUAAAGAUAUCAAGUGGAACUCCAAUGUUCUCACAGUUUUAAAGAAAAACAUAGCAUAUUUAAUCAAAACAGCAUGGUGUAGUGGAAAGACCACUGGACUGGGCAGUAUGAUUCUAGUCCUGGCUAUACCACUAACUAGCUGUGGGACCUGGAGCAAGUCACUUAAUGUCCCUGGGCCUCAGUUUCCCCAUCUGAACUAGAUGACCUAAGGUCCCUUCUGGCUCUAAUAAUUUUUAUGAAUCUAAGUAAACCCAUUUGGGGAUGCCCUCCUCCCCCCUUAACACCAGUGAAGGUGGAAUUCCCAGCCAAUGAAUUAAGUGUAAACUGAUGGAAAUUAAAUGCCUACCUUCCUAAAUACUUGGAUAUUGCCUGCUACCUUCUACAUAAGGCUGUUUUUAGUGUCACGGUAGCCCCAGGACACAACAUGCUCCCUUCACUAGAGAAAUAUGUGGUUAAGGACAACAAGAAAGGAAGUCUAAUGUAAAGGCAAGUGCUGAAAUAAGAAAAAAGUUUAAAACAAAAAUAAAAAUACACAUAAUCUCCUAUCACACCAGAACUAAGAAUUUCAUUAAGUUGCCUUUGUUUUUUCCAGGCAGUAGUAAGACACUGAUGAAAUAACUGAAAAUUGCCAGCUACGUUAAUGUAGGGAUUAAAGAAACCGGUUAGGGAUGAAAGAAACCGGUAAAUUACUAAACAAAAUCCAAAAAGGGGCAGGGGGUAUCCUUCCUGGUGACACAGAAUCAGUCCCUCAGAAACAUGCCAUUAAUACCAGCUGCUUGCUUCCCCUAACUAAACUGCCCAAAACAAGGACCACUGGGGGGGGGGGGGGGGGGGGGGGGGGGGGGGGGGGGGGUGUUAGAAACAAAACAGCCAAGCAAUGGAAAACACUGCUGAACAAGAAAAGAGGAGGUUUGUCUUUAUCAAUCCAACAGCAGGCUGAGCCUUGCAACAUCCUCAAUUGGCACUUUUUAAGUUUAUGUCAUCUUCACUCUAAGGCCAUAGAACAAGGAAGUGUAUUUUCAUUCAUAUCUCCAUGGAAAUCAAAUACCAAAAGAGGAACAGCCAUAUUGGAAGGCGGCUACUACUACUACUACUACUACUACUACUACUACUACUACUACUACUACUACUACUAACUACUAAUACUACUACAACUACAUUAUUACUACUCUUUGCAGGGUUUGGGAGGAAGGGUGAAAGUAAAAUCAAAUACAAUCUAGGAAAAUAUGAUCCAGAGGGAAAGGAUUUAGUUUGGGUUGUGGCCCUAGAACAUUUUAUUAUGGACCGUGAUAGCAUUCCCCUCAUAUCUAGUGACAACACUGCUGAGGGCUGGUCAGUAGCUUUUGGACUUGGAUCACCUUUGCUACAGCACUCUGCACCGUUUCUCAAAUUUAAGUUUUUCCAAGCUUUUUUAAAAAGUUAGUUUUUCAAUAGGACAAAAGGGGAAACUUACAAUUGAUAAAAUUGGAAACAGCACCCUCACUAUUAGUAGCAUGCAGUCUAUGAAAUAUUACAUACAUUAAAUUCUCCAAUUACUCUGGGUUUUGAUCACAUAGAAUCCUUCCUAGACAAGCUAUAGAAUUCUAAACUGUACAAAAUAAAAAAUAUGCAUGAAAUUCAACAAUUUUUUUUUUACACAUCAGUACUGAAUAGAGCAAAAACCAGCAGCAAUUAAGACCCAUGGACUCCCUCCACAGUCACUCUAAUAAGAUGAAAAACUUCACAAAUGUCAUCAGCAGACAGCAAACACUGGUCCAAGAAGCAAAAUCCAUUCCUAGAGAAAACCCUAAGCUUAUCUAUCUCUGCAAGUCCAGCUCAGUUGACAUCUGUUUUUGUAAAUGAAUAGGAUGAGCUGUCAGAUUACCUUUUAGACUUCAAAAAUGUGUCUGCGUUGCAAACCCACUAAGCACUCUGAAGCAGAAAAUCCUGCAGGUAUGAGUAGAUACUGGGAAUAACUCAUUUAAGGGACAUAUUUUUAAAAUUAAGGUACAUACCCAGUACUAACCACCCACCACCACCACCACCACUCCAUCCCCCUUCCCUUCAAAAAACAAAACCCCUAAGCACAUCAAUCCACUUCAGGCAGUAAAAGAGAGUCUCAAGCUUAUCUUAAGUCAGCCACAGAUUGGUUCUAAAAAGGAAAUAAAAGCUCAAAGAGAUACCCAGUGCUAAUGUUGUUGGGGGGGGGAAGGGGGAAGGGGUUUUGGUCAAGUUCAUUUAAUAGGAGUGCUCAGGCACAGAUGAGUAAACUGAUGAGCAUAUAGGACUCCCAGCUGUUAGAAGACCUGAAAUAAGAUCACUAAAUGACUGAAAACAGGCAGUAUGGAGUUUUAUUGAUAAAAGAACUAUAUAGUUGGGCCUCAGUUAAAAUUUUAAAGAAGCUUUGUAGUCAAAGCCAGGAAUCUUCUUUCCUGCUAACACCUUGUCCACCUGUCCCUCAAGUUCACUAAACCCCGCUGUUCAGUCAGUGCAAGCCUGCUCAACACUCCGGCCCUGGCCUAAUCUAACCUAGCCUGGCCUUCCUGAAUUGUGGCUGAGUAUCCCUGGUCAAGAGGAUCAGGGGGAAUGGAACUGGUCCCAUUCUCAGAUCAUUUCUUAUUUAGAACUACCAUCCCUUACCAGGAUUUGGGGUCUCUGGAGAUAUUUCUUAAAUUAACUCUGUGGAAAAAUGAAGGUCAGAAAUGUAUUGCUCUUCUAAAUCUGAGAGUUGAAAUCCAAAAUUGUAUUUGUUGUACAGACAAAAGAAUUAAUAACUUCUGCUAUAAUCUCUGUUUAAGUUGAAGAAGGUCUCUAGCCCACAAAACUGGCAGUGCCAAAACUUGACCUACUAAGUUC